GAAAUAUCCUUCUAGAACGUUGUUAUAUCUCAAGAGAAUUUCAGAAGUGAAAUGUUUUUAAGCCAUUUAUAUGCAUAUAUGUAUAUAUAAAUACAUGCAUUCUCAUCUACACAAAUAUACUUAAUAUAUAUUUAAUAUUUAAUAAAUAGUUUUAUAUAUUUAUAUCUAAAUAUAUUUAAAUGAAUGUAGAUUUACCAAAAAUCUAGUGGAAAGUACCUUUUCCAUAUUCUAUGGCCCCUCCCCCCAUAUCUCCUGUUAUCAGCACCUUGCAUUACUGUGGGCCCUUUAUUACAAUUCAUGAGCCAAUAAUGAUACAUUAUGAGUAACUAUAGCCCAUAGUUUCCAUUAGGUCCAGUCCUAGUGUUGUGUAGUUCUGUGAGUUUCAUAAAUGCAUGGUGCUAUAAAUCCACCACUAUGGGAUCAUAUAGAGUAGUUUCAUUGCUCUAAGAUUUUCCUUUGCUGCAUCUAUUCAUCCACUCACCUCUUCACCAACUCUUGGCAGCUACUGAUCUUCCCGAGGAGUUGGGUCUAUAUACCUGGCUCUGGGCUUUUUACUGUCUCUCUAGUUUGGCCUUUUCUAAAAUGUCACAUAGUUGGAAUCAUAUAGUACGUUGCCUUUUGUGAUUGGUGUCUUUCCCUUAGUGAUGUGCAUUUAAGGUUGCUCCAGGUCUAUUCAUGGCUCAAUAGCUUGUUUUUAGAGCUAAAUAAUAUACCAUGGAUGCACCAUGGUUUAUUUGUCCAUUCACCAACUGAAGAUCAUUUUGAUUGCCUUCAAGUUUUGACAAUGUUGAAUUGUUGUGUCACUUUUUGCCUGGAUGUAAAUUUUCAGUUCAUUUGUGUAAACACCAAGGAGUACAGUUGCUAGAUCUUAAAAGAAUAUUUUUGGUUUUGUAAGAAACUGCCAGACUCUUUUCAAAAGUGGCUGUACCAUUUUGCUUUGUACCACUGUUUCCAGUGAUCUGUCCUCAGCAAUUGCACCCUUACCGUAAUUCUUCCUCCUACAUGCUCAGGCAAUCUUAAGCCAGUUAUUUUUUUUAACAUUCUGGGCAUCAGAUUUCUCACGUGCAAGUCAGUAGUAUUUCA
rnacentral:lncRNA from 1 species